GGGGAUGUUUUUGGUUUUGACAGCAAGGUUAGAUUGAAAUGUAAGCACGUCGAGCGUUGGGAUUAUAGCUCGUUAAUAUCUGGUCUCAAGCCAUAAUUGGCAACAACAACUAUGCUCUCGCAGCCUAAUACACAAAGUGUAAUGGCUUAAUCCGGCGACCCAAGGCGGUUGUUAGACGAGAAUCUCACAAAAAACCAGCCUUCCGGUUUUUUGAUUUCGAGGUUUCAUUUUUUGGAAGGAUAGCAUACGUGACGCCUUUAAUCGUAUGCAAAAUUUCAAAGGAUAAGGAUAAAACCGAUUGGCUUCUUAUCAAGUUCUAUUCCGACAAUAUAAAAUGAAGAUAAACGUGUAGAAAGCAUUUGGUCACUUGUUUGGACGCGGGUUCGACUCCCGCCAUCUCCACAA
rnacentral:tmRNA from 1 species